AACGAACGCUGGCGGCGGGCCUCAUACAUGCAAGUCGAGCGCGAAAGUCCGCAAGGAUGAGUAAAGCGGCGCACGGGUGAGUAACACGUGGGUAAAUCUACCUUUUGGAUUGGAAUAACCUGUCGAAAGACGGGCUAAUGCCGAGUGAGCUUUCUUGAACGUGAAGUUCGAGCAAGGAAAGAUGGCGCAAGCUAUCGCCGAAAGAUGAGCCUGCGUCCCAUUAGUUAGUUGGUGGGGUAAUGGCUUACCAAGACAAUAGAUGGGUACCGUACGGUUUGGUUAG
rnacentral:rRNA from 1 species